rnacentral:rRNA from 1 species
UACGUAGGGCGCAAGCGUUGUCCGGAAUUAUUGGGCGUAAAGAGCUCGUAGGUGGCGUGUCGCGUCUGCCGUGAAAGCCCAUGGCUUAACUGUGGGUCUGCGGUGGAUACGGGCAGGCUGGAGGCUGGUAGGGGCAAGCGGAAUUCCUGGUGUAGCGGUGAAAUGCGCAGAUAUCAGGAGGAACACCGGUGGCGAAGGCGGCUUGCUGGGCCAGUUCUGACGCUGAGGAGCGAAAGCGUGGAGAGCGAACAGG